rnacentral:lncRNA from 1 species
AAAAAAUGGGGAGCGACUCUCAAUUAUGCUAGGCAACUUGGUUUUCAAGUGAGCUUAGCUGAUGAGUUACUGAGGAAAACUUUUGUUGCCUACAUGUGUUUCAAAUUUUUGAUAAACCAACCUGAUGACAAAAAGAACAAUCAAGUGUCCGACGAAGAUUUGGAAAGCCAAGUUUAUGGAAGUUGGUCAACUUUUGGAGCUGAAUUCAAGAGUUUGGAAAACCAACAUUAUGAAGAAAACAAUAAUAAAGUGUCCUUCAAAGAUUUCGAAGGAUUAGAAGAGGCAUUGGAGAAAAAUAAUGCAUUUGGUCUUCCAGACUACCUCAAGCCUAUUGUGAACCAAAUCGAAAAGGCUCGUGGGGAAGCUACUGGGAUUGCUCACGCAUGUAUUCAACAUUUUGUGUGCGCUGCUAUCAAGGAGAUGCAAGAUUCGGCAUUGGAGUCUUUGAACUGGGAUACGUUGGAAAAAUGGGGAGCGACGCUCAAUUAUGCUAGGCAACUUGGUUUUCAAGUGAGCUUUGCUGAUGAGUUACUGAGGAAAACUUUUGUUACCUACAUGUAUUUCAAAUUUUUGAUAAACCAACCUGAUGACAAAAAGAACAAUCAAGUGUCCGACGAAGAUUUGGAAAGCCAAGUUUGUGGAAGUUGGUCAACUUUUGGAGCUGAAUUCAAGAGUUUGGAAAACCAACUUUAUGAAGAAAACAACACUAAAGUGUCCUUCAAAGAUUUCGAAGGAUUAGAAGAGGCAUUGAAGAAAACUAAUGCUUUUGGUCUUCCAGACUACCUUAAGCCUAUUGCGAACCAAAUCGAAGAGGCUCGUGGGAAAGCUGCUGGGCUUGAUCAUGGAUGUAUUCAAAUUUUAGUCUGCGCUGCUAUCAAGGAGAUGCAAGAUUCGGCAUUGGAGUCUUUGAACUGGGAUACGUUGAAAAAAUGGGGAGGAACGCUCAAUUGUGCUAGGCAACUUGGUUUUCAAGUGAGCUUUGCUGAUGAGUUACUGAGGAAAACUCUUGUUGCCUACAUGUGUUUCAAAUUUUUGAUAAACCAACCUGAUGACAAAAACAACAAUCAAGGCAAAUUUCGUUAGUUUGAACAUGCAAAU